rnacentral:tRNA from 27 species
GGGGCGUUAGCUCAGUUGGUUAGAGCAGAGGACUCAUAAUCCUUUGGUCGAGUGUUCAAGUCACUCACGCCCUACCA